GCCUUCAUGAAGCCGGAAUUGCUAGUAAUGGCAGGUCAGCAUACUGCCGUGAAUACGUUCCCGGGCCUUGUACACACCGCCCGUCACACCAUGAGAGUUGGGGAUACCCGAAGCCUGUGAGCUAACAUUAUGAGGCAGCAGUCGAAGGUAGAAUCAAUGAUUGGGGUGAAGUCGUAACAAGGUAGC
rnacentral:rRNA from 1 species